ensembl:rRNA 5S_rRNA 5S ribosomal RNA
GUUUACGGCCAUACCAGCCUGGGUACGCCCGAUCUCGUCUGAUCUCGGAAGCUAAGCAGGGUCGGGCCUGGUUAGUACUUGGAUGGGAGACCGCCUGGGAAUACCAGGUGCUGUAAGCU